rnacentral:rRNA from 1 species
GUCUACGACCAUACCACCAGGAAAACGCUGGUUCUCGUUCGAUCACCAAAGCUAAGCCUGGACGGGCGAAGUUAGUACUUGGAUGGGUGACCGCCUGGGAAUACUUCGUGUUGUAGACU